GCUGGUGAUCGACGGAUUGGUAGGAGCCGCUGGAGAUUCGGGGUCCGAUGCGGCAACACGAAGGUUCAGCGUCUGCCCCUCAAAUAUCUCGAAUUCUCCAAGCUCCGGGAACUUGACCGCGCCGUUCUUGUUUUCGACCGUCAGCGUCGUCGACCUGCGGCUGAUUGCGGUGCCAUCAUCGGCAACGAAUUCCAGAUCAAACACGCCAUGCUGGUCAAAUCCCGGAGUCCACUCGAACAGCCCCGUGUUGGGAUCGAGGAAAGCGCCCGCCGGCAAGUCGG
rnacentral:misc_RNA from 1 species